UACAGAGGGGGCAAGCGUUAUUCGGAAUUAUUGGGCGUAAAGAGCUCGUAGGCGGCUUGUCACGUCGGAUGUGAAAGCCCGGGGCUUAACCCCGGGUCUGCAUUCGAUACGGGCAGGCUAGAGUGUGGUAGGGGAGAUCGGAAUUCCUGGUGUAGCGGUGAAAUGCGCAGAUAUCAGGAGGAACACCGGUGGCGAAGGCGGAUCUCUGGGCCAUUACUGACGCUGAGGAGCGAAAGCGUGGGGAGCGAACAGG
rnacentral:rRNA from 1 species